rnacentral:lncRNA from 1 species
GUAACUCGUUCAGUAUGCCUUCACGGCCUCUUAAUGAAACGCGCGGCCCCGAGGCGAGACCCAUUCAUCCCCGCAGAUGGUCCCCGCCGCCCUGCUUUGUGCAAGCUGAGCACCGGCGCCAGCUGCACACCCACCCGCACCCAGACAUCUGCGGACCGAGCCGUCUUUUGUUUGGCGGGGACCGCCCCUGGACGUCUGGAUCCGCACCUCGUUCUGGCAGGAACAGCCGAUGUGUGUGAUGAUGGACGCCAGACGGCCGCAGAUCACCGAUCAUCCUGCGCACGAUCCCGGGCCGAAUUCCGCCUGGUUGCCAGGGAUACGGCUGUCUAAAAGCCCGGUCUCCGAGCCUAACCAAACACAUGACGGUGUGCGUGUGCGUGUGUGUGUGUGUGUGUGUGUGUGUGUGUGUGUGAGAGAGAGAGAGAUAGAGAGAGCGCACUGCGCUGGGAGGAGCUCACUCCUCUUCUCUCCAGACCAGGAUGUGGAGCGCCUCACCUCCCCAGCGGUGCUGCUACAUCGCUCCUCGUUACCCAGCAGACUCUGCGCGGGCCGGGCCGGGCCGGGCCGGGCCGGAACCGUUCAGGCGUCCACCGCCCCUUCGCCCUUCCAGCGGUGCAUCUGCAGCAGAAGACCGUCGGUUCGUUGA